rnacentral:rRNA from 1 species
UACGGGGGGAGCAAGCGUUGUUCGGAUUUACUGGGCGUAAAGGGCGCGUAGGCGGCCACCGCAAGUCGACUGUGAAAUCUCCGGGCUUAACUCGGAAAGGUCAGCCGAUACUGCGGGGCUAGAGUGCAGAAGGGGCAACUGGAAUUCUCGGUGUAGCGGUGAAAUGCGUAGAUAUCGAGAGGAACACCUGCGGCGAAGGCGGCUCUCUGGAACGCAACUGACGCUGGGACGCGAAAGCGUGGGGAGCAAACAGG